CAAUAGCGUAUAUUAAAGUUGUUGCGGUAAAAAAGCUCGUAGUUGGAUUUCUGUUGAGUGCGACCGGUCCAUACCAUGUAUGCGUAUCUGGCUUGCUCUCGGCAUCCUCUCGAUAGACGUUGCUGCGCUUGAUUGCGUGGCGCGGAUCUCGGGACUUUUACUUUGAGGAAAUUAGAGUGUUCACGGCAGGCUUUCGCCAGAAUACAUUAGCAUGGAAUAAUACUAUAGGAUCUUGGUUCUAUUUUGUUGGUUUCUAGAAUUGAGAUAAUGAUUAAUAGGGACAAUUGGGGGCAUUCGUAUCAACACGUCAGAGGUGGAAUUCUUGGAUUGUGUUGCGACGAACUACUGCGAAAGCAUUUGCCAAGGAUGUUUUCAUUG
rnacentral:rRNA from 1 species